rnacentral:tRNA from 1 species
GGAGGUAUAGCUCGGUGGUAGAGCACAUGCUUAGCAUGCAUGAGGUCCUGGGUUCAAGCCCUAGUACCUCCA